AUAAAGUAGCCUGAAAGGGACAUAAUUACUCCACCUGUACCAUUUUGGAGCAUGACUGGAAGACCCAAGAAAAAAAAAAAGAAAAAUUAGUGGUUGCUUCCGUAUACACCGUCUUCUGGUUGCUUGUGCAGUUUAACAAGUUAGAGACUUUAUUUUUGUAAAAUAUAGGAUCAUACUUAUUGUUUGUCACAAGAGGAGGAAAGGACAAGAUGAAUCCGCAUCACCAAGAAGUGAAAAUGUGAAGGUAAACAAAAUUGUGACCAGUGACGGAGUGAAACAAUCUGUAAUCUCACAUGUCGACAAGACUAAAUCCUACACACUAGCUUUCAAGACUGAUGACCCAUAAUGUGUCAGCAGAGUGAUAAUAAAAUCUACCUUUAUAAUAAAGUCAUGAUAACAGUAGGCUAAGUGGUGUGAUACCCAACCCAGAUAACCAAAACAAGAUGACUUCUGGAAUUCUACAUUUAUGAUUGACAAGUUUGUUAUUAAAAAGUUCAGUCUAAGUCCUGCCUCUGACUGGGCAGACAGCCAACUAUAGAAAAUAAAGGGGUGGCCAAUCAGAUUCCAGCAGUGGUCUGUGCCACCUAAGGCCACCCUCUGGACCUGCCCAUGCGUGGAGCAUGUUCUGUAAUACAAAGGACACUUAUAGUAUUUUUUAAUUUGGAAAUCCAGUAUAAGAAGGCAGUGAAACAUUAUACUCGGGCUGAUGAGAUUCUUUAUGUAGAUGUAUUUCCAUAUCACAAAACACAUCCUGGUCCAAAAUCUCCCAUUUAUCAUUAAGACACACAGAUGUAAAAGUAAAAAACAAAAGUAGUGCCAUUGCACAUUGUCUAAGAAGUCUAAUUUAUGAGACUAAGUAAGAAAUAAUUGGAAAGACAGGCUUUUGUAUGUGUUUAAUUGAACCAAUAUAUCUGAACAUCAUCCUGCCUCAUUUUACCUGCUUCAAACACAAGCCAUAAUGUGUAACAAAAUGUUUUUGUUUUGCCAUAUUAGCAGUUACACUAAAAGAAAUGACACAUCACAUUCUAGAAAUAUAGUUUGUCUUCUAUUUUUCUUUGCACUUUUUAUCUCCCCUCAGCAAUUAUGUCUAAUCAACCGUGUUAUUACAUGACCACUAGAUGGAAGCAUUCCUUCUUUUCCAAACAGUCACCUUCAGUUUAUGGCCAUGUUAAAUUUGGAGAUGACAUCAUCUGAUUAAGAGUUUAACAAUGUUUGAAGUGUUUAGCAUCAAACUUCUUGCUGAAGGAAAAAUGUGGGCAUCUUCUAGCCAGACGAGAGUUUGAACGCAAGAGGCGACUUUUGUUCUGAGCUGCAGGUUAAUAACAAAGAAAAAUAAAACAAAAACACAAGAAUAUGAAAUGAAAUGUUGCAUUCCCAGGUAGUAACCACAACAUUCCUACUUUUAUCAGACUUUACAUUUGUGAUAUUCGGUUUUCUUGGGUGAGGUGGAGGUGCAGCUCUGUAAUGGCAGACUGUGUUAAUCCACUCCUCCACCCAGAUGAACUCUGACAGCAUGGCCAUUUACAACUGCAGGCUGUCCUCCCUCCGAGCAUUCAGGUUUUGUUUUUGUGUGUGUCUGUAUGUGUGCAUGCAGGAGGGAGGGACGAGAGGAAGGCUCAAGGGUAUCUGUGAUCUAAUCAUUACACCAUCUCCUCACCUCAGCGACCCCGCUGCAUCCAUCUCUUUGUCGGCUUCUCUCUGAACCGCUCUGUGUUGCGUCCCCUCUCCCUCUGCUGCUCUCUUCGCCCAUCUGUCUUUCAUCCAAUCUCUGUCGUCUGGCUUCCACUCGGUAUAGUGUCCCUCGCCCCCUGAUGCUCUGCAGGUUGCUGCCGCCACCGCUGCAUCUUGGCCGGAGGAGAAAAUUCACCAUGAUUGAGAGAUGGAGAAAGAAAAACAUGAUUUGUUUUUCCAAAGUAAAGCAAGGACAGGUUCGGUUUUGACAUAAAUUAAUAUCUGAGGAAUUGUAAUCAAGCGGGUCACUCUCACCACUCUUGCAGAGUUAGAGCCUGUGUGUGUGAGUACACACUUUGCAGGUAGAAAUCAGUAUUUGACAGGAUUGAGAGCUUGUUAAUUAGCAGUCACACUAUGAAUUGGCAGUGCUGAAGUGUUCCUAAUGAUGUCACUGGCUAUUGGAGCACAGCCACAGAAGGCGUGCAGAUGUGUUAACACAACAGUCGGUGCACCGCUUCUUUGCAUCCUUUCUUUGCCACUGUGUACUGGUGUGUGCUGUUGGAGGUUAAAAUUUUUAAAAAACAUUUUCCACUUUCCACAGCUGUAACGACAAACCAGAUGUCAAUUUAUCCCCGAAGGUGGUCAAAGAUGGACACCAAGAGACGAGUUCCUUUACUGCAGAGACACCGGGUUUUCUAGCUGAUCAAUACUACUGACUUGUGUGACAUUACAGAGAAGAAUUGAGCUGUAGCGUCACAAGAAGUCGAUUCUUUAAAGCAGGGGCAGCUUGUUCAUAAGGGCGAUUUGGGCGACGCACUGCCAAAUGGGAAAAGGAGGGGGUUUUUUUGGGGUUUUUUUGCUGUCUGACUCUAGUCCUGUUACAGUGGUUAUCAGUGUUCCAGAUUGUUUGAUCUGCCUCUGAAUGUCAUUGUCCAGUCAGGUCACGCCCAUUCUGGUGCGAUUUCAGUCAUCUUUAAGCACAAUCUUUAUGGGUUUCGGUGUGCACAGUACGUUACGUGAUUACAUCUUACGCAGCUGUAAAAAGCGCAGGAUGUGGCGUUCAAAACCCCUGAGAUGCUGAGAGCCUUGGACUUUGGGCUUAAUCAUGGAUUUACCAACUGGGUUUGUUUUUCACUCUGCCAGACGUUUCAACUGGUGAGUGCGUUACGUCACUCAAACUACUUAUUAUUAUCAUUUCUUUUAUUUUAAAGAAUAACACAUUUUUAAAAAUUGCGAUUAAUCACAAUUUGCUCCUUUUUGUUUCGAUGUGACUGAUGUGGUCUGUAGAUAAAAUGAUUUUGAGAGCAAUAACGGGGUUAGAUGUCUGUGCCUUUGAACAUUUUUUGCACAGUUUAAACAACAGAUCAGAGCAACAGAUCAGAGGUAUUUAAUUUUUGUUAAAUAGCGGCAAGAAAAUCAUGCAGCCAAAGCGUAAGGGUUAGUUUGUGUGGUUAAAACAGCCUCAUUAAUGUUUCCUCCUGCUUAACGAGACAUGGAGGUAAAGUACACGUUAAAUACUUUUGGGGAUGCUCCUUUAAUACUCAAUCAUGACACUCACAAUUGGUGUCCUCAGUUCCCAGGCGCUUGUUGGGUGUUGUUGGAGGGAGGGGUGGUGUAGCACGGUGGUGGAUAUGCCACUGUCCCAGCUUUUUUUGGGAUGUGUUGCAGGCAUCCAUUUCGGAAUGGGCAAGUAUUUGCACAAGAGGUGCAAAGUGUUUGUCGGUUUGGGCAUUGGGUGUCUUGUCUUUGUGGUGUAUUCGGUUGAGUGUGGGUUGAGGAGGAUUUGCAAAUCAUUGUAUUGUGUUUUUGAUUGCAUUUUGCAUGGCGUCCCGGCUUCAUUGGAAUUGGGGUUGUA